CUCCUUUUGUGUUGCUAAAUUCACAGGUGCAGAGGGGUGGGGACAACAGCCUGAGAAUUGCUCAACUUUGGUGCACCACAGGGUGCGUGCUGUGGUCAGACUCAGAGAGGAUCGAAUGGGGCUCGCACUCAAAUUGGAUAAAGGAAUUGAAAAGAGAAAAUAAGUAAUGGAUUGAAAACAGCUAAGAAAGCUCUGAAGGGCAUAAAACAAGCCAGAGAAAUAUCUACAAUCCAGCACUGAAUGGAAUCGAAGGGCAAGAGCCGCCAUCCUUACUGCGUUCCCAGUGUGAAGGGAAAACCAUUUAGCCUUCUACCGAGUGUGUCAGCUGCAGGUUUGCUGUGGAUGUUCUUUAUCAAGCCAAACGCCUAAAUAAAAAUGCUGAAUUACAAACAAGCACCACGGACGGCUGUGGGUCUGCGCGGCUCUGAGUCUCACACAGGAGAGGCGCUGCGCGCAGUGACAGAAUCGCAUUGGCG
rnacentral:lncRNA from 1 species